GUCCCAAUAGCUCAGCUGGAUAGAGCGCACCCCUCCUAAGGGUGAGGCCGUAAGUUCGACUCUUACUUGGGACACCA
rnacentral:tRNA from 1 species